UACGUAGGGGGCUAGCGUUGUCCGGAAUCGUUGGGCGUAAAGCGCGUGUAGGCGGUCCGGUAAGUCCGCUGUGAAAGUCGGGGGCUCAACCCUCGAAUGCCGGUGGAUACUGUCGGGCUAGAGUGCGGAAGAGGCGAGUGGAAUUCCUGGUGUAGCGGUGAAAUGCGCAGAUAUCAGGAGGAACACCAAUUGCGAAGGCAGCUCGCUGGGACGUUACUGACGCUGAGACGCGAAAGCGUGGGGAGCAAACAGG
rnacentral:rRNA from 1 species